UUCUGUUUGAUCCUGGCGGAGGUUACUGCUAUCGAGGUUCGACUAAGCCAUGCGAGUUGAAUGUAGCAAUACAUGGCGUACUGCUCAGUAACACGUGGACAACCUACCCUUAGGUCGGGGAUAAACUCGGGAAACUGGGUAUAAUACCCGAUAGUCCUCGAAUGCUGGAAUGCAUCGAGGUCUAAAGCUCCGGCGCCUAAGGAUGGGUCUGCGGCCUAUCAGGUAGUAGUGGGUGUAGCGUACCUACUAGCCUACGACGGGUACGGGUUGUGAGAGCAAGAGCCCGGAGAUGGAUUCUGAGACACGAAUCCAGGCCCUACGGGGUGCAGCAGGCGCGAAAACUUUACAAUGCUGGCAACAGCGAUAAGGGGACCUCGAGUGCCAGGUUACAAAUCUGGCUGUCGUGAUGCCUAAAAAGCAUUGCAUAGCAAGGGCCGGGCAAGACCGGUGCCAGCCGCCGCGGUAACACCGGCGGCUCGAGUGGUAACCGUUAUUAUUGGGUCUAAAGGGUCUGUAGCCGGCCGGAUAAGUCUCUUGGGAAAUCUGGCAGCUUAACUGUCAGGCUUUCAGGAGAUACUGUCUGGCUCGAGGCCGGGAGAGGUGAGAGGUGCUUCAGGGGUAGAGGGAAAUCUUGUAAUCCU
rnacentral:rRNA from 1 species